UCUUUGUGUUCGAACGGUCACCGUAGGGUGUGCCUGCCUUUUGAAUCAAUCUCCUUAGGCUAGAACACAAAGCACUA
rnacentral:ncRNA from 1 species